CCUACGGGUGGCAGCAGUAGGGAAUCUUCCACAAUGGGCGAAAGCCUGAUGGAGCAACGCCGCGUGGGUGAAGAAGGUCUUCGGAUCGUAAAACCCUGUUGUUAGAGAAGAAAGUUCGUGUGAGUAACUGUUCACGUGUCGACGUUAUCUAACCAGAUAGCCUCGGCUAACUACGUGCCAGCAGCCGCGGUAAUACGUAGGUGGCAUGCGUUAUCCGGUUUUAUUGGGCGUAAAGGGGACGCAGGCGGUCUUUGAAGUCUGAUGUGAAAGCGUUCGGCUUAACCGGUGCAGUGCAUUGGAAACGGGGAGACUUGAGUGCAGGAGAGGAGAGUGGAACUCCAUGUGUAGCGGUGAAAUGCGUAGAUAUAUGGAAGAACACCAGUGGCGAAGGCGGCUCGCUGGACUGUAACUGACGCUGAGGUUCGAAAGCGUGGGUAGCAAACAGGAUUAGAUACCCUGGUAGUC
rnacentral:rRNA from 1 species